rnacentral:rRNA from 1 species
AGAGCCUGAUCAUGGCCCAGGACGAUCCGCCUGGCGGCAGGCCCAACACACGCAAGUCGAACGGUACCGCGGCGCUUCCUUGCUUCUGCUGCUGACCGGCGGCGGACGGGCGAGUAAUGUCCGAAGCUGCCUGGUGGAGGGGAUAACUACUGGAAACGGUAGCUGAUACCGCAUAACGUCGCAAGACCAAAGAGGGUACCUUCGGGCCUCUUGCCAUCGGAUGUGCCCAGAUGGAUUAGCUAGUAGGGGGGCAGCGGCUCACCUGAAACGACGAUCCCUAGCUGGUCUGAGGAUGCCACACCGAACUGAGACGGUCCAGACUCCUACGGGAGGCAAUCGCGGAUAUUGCACAAUGGGCGCAAGCCUGAUGCAGCCAUGCCGCGUGUAUGAAGAAGGCCUUCGGGUUGAAAUACUUUCAGCGGGAGGAGGAGUCAAUCAAGAUUAAUACCUUUGCUCAUUGACGUUACCCGCAGAAAAGCACCGGCUAACUCCGUGCCAGCAGCCGCGGUAAUACGGAGGGUGCAAGCUUAAUCAGAUUACUGGCGUAAAGCGCACGCAGGCGUCAGAUGUGAAAUCCCGGGCCCAACCUGGAACGCAUCUGAUACUGCAGCAAGCAGGUCUCGUAGAGGGGUAAAUUCCAGGUGUAGCGGUGAAAUGCGUAGAGAUCUGGAGGAAUACCGGUGGCGAAGGCGGCCCCCUGGACGAAGACUGACGCUCAGGUGCGAAAGCGUAAGAAACAGGAUUAGAUACCCUGGUAGUCCACGCCGUAAACGAUGUCGACUUGGAGGUUGUGCCCUUGAGGCGUGGCUUCCGGAGCUAACGCGUUAAGUCGACCGCCUGGGAGUACGGCCGCAAGGUUAAACUCAAAAUUCGACGGGGGCCCGCACAAGCGGUGGAGCAUGUGGUUUAAUUGAUGCAACGCGAAGAACCUUACCUGGUCUUGACAUCCACGGAAGUUUUCAGAGAUGAAUGUGCCUUCGUGAACCGAGAUGGUGCUGCUGUCACGUGUUGUGAAUGUUGGGUUAAGUCCCGCAACGCGCAACCCUUAUCCUUGUUGCCAGCGGUCCGGCCGGGAACUCAAAGGAGACUGCCAGUGAUAAACUGGAGGUGGGGAUGACGUCAAGUCAUCAUGGCCCUUACGACCAGGGCUACACGUGCGUCAUGCAUACAAAGAGAAGCGACCUCGCGAGAGCAAGCGGACCUCAUAAAGUGCGUCGUAGUCCGGAUUGGAGUCUGCAACUCGACUCCUGAAGUCGGAAUCGCUAGUAAUCGUGGAUCAGAAUGCCACGGUGAAUACGUUCGGGCCUUGUACACACCGCCCGUCACACCAGGAGUGGGUUGCAAAAAGAUAAAUAACCUUCGGGAGGGCGUCACCACUUUGUGAUUCAUGACUGGGGGUGUAAUGAGUAACCGUAAAGGGAACCUGCGGUUG